rnacentral:rRNA from 1 species
UACAGAGGGUGCGAGCGUUGUUCGGAAUUAUUGGGCGUAAAGGGCGCGUAGGCGGUGUGGUAAGUCACCUGUGAAAUCUCCUGGCUCAACUGGGAGCUUGCAGGCGAAACUGCCGGGCUGGAGUGUGGGAGAGGUGCGUGGAAUUCCUGGUGUAGCGGUGAAAUGCGUAGAUAUCAGGAGGAACACCUGUGGCGAAAGCAGCGCACUGGACCACAACUGACGCUGAGGCGCGAAAGCUAGGGGAGCAAACAGG